GCCUGCAUAUUUUGAAGGGCCACAACAGAGAACAUUUCGUACAAUAUCUGAUAGAAAUAAAUAAAUAUGAGGUCAUUCCAUAUGGGGACAUAAAAUUUAGCUAACCAAUGGUUGGUAAGAAGGAUAUACCAAUUUCUGCAUUACGAUCAGGAGUCAUUUGAGGAAUACUAACAAAAGUUGUGGUAUGUAACUUGGUCGGUGGCAACCGUGGUUUCUCAGGCUCGUUAUUUGGUUUGAUAUGUUCAAUUAGAGUUUCUUUAUCAAGCACCCAAUAAAAUUUAUGUAUUAUUUUUCCCUACGAAGGUAGUGAAAGUUUUACUCUAGUAGUAGAGAUUAAAUAUGUAUCCAACAACAUAAGCUUCUUUGCAUAAUAUCAAUAUCAUCACCAUAUACGACUUCCCCGAUUUGUUGUUUAAAGUCAGAGAACUUUGUGAAACAGAGAUAAAUAAUAUAAUUAUGCUUAGAGGAUGAGCUGCGACAACAAUGAGCGAGAGUACAUGCUCAUCAGAUUUUGGAAUCGUAUUUUCCUCUCCAAACUUAGUUGGCCUUGACUCAUGUCCACAAUUUGGACUUUACAAGUCCAAUCGGGAGUGUCAGUUGUUAUUCCUUCAAUAUUCAAUCUUGGUGCCAUAUGUCUUUAUCUUUACAAUGAGAAUCAUAACAUUUAGAGUUCUCUUAAAUUCGUAAACUCUUGGUAAUGGUAAGGCAGGCAUGCAAGGUUAAAUGCUGUAAAUUCUUGAACUCUAGAAUCUCUAUGAGUUUACUGUUAAAGAAGGGAACAAAGUUCAUUACAACAAACCAUCAAACACAUUUUGUACAAUACAGAGCAAAGACGAUAAUAAUACUAACACGCAAUAGAAACUAACAAAUCAAAAAUGAAAGCAAGAGCAAAAGAUCAAAAAAUAUAUUUAGCACAGCAAUUCUUCAAAGAAAUUGAAAUAUCUCAAAGAAGAAACAACAAAGCUGAAACAUCAAAGAAGAAACAACAAAGAAGUGUGCAUGAGCAGAACAAAGAAAAUAAGAGAUUCACAGAAGUACAAUCUACAAAGAAUUGUACAAGAAGAAAAUAAAAGGACAUAGAAGCUGCAAACCGAUGAAAGCAACAAAAGGAAAAUAAAAAAACCCACCAAUUUUAAGCUUCAAUGAGAUGAGUUGUAGAAGCUUAAACAUCAAACAAGAAACAACAAAGAGGUGUGCAUGAGUAGAACAAACAAAAGAGAUGAUUCAUAGAAGUACAAUCAACUUACAAUUGCAUAAAAAGAAAAUAAAAAGAACUUAAAAGUUGCAAACCGAUGAAAGCAACAGAGAAAAAAACAAAAUCCCACCAAUUUAAAGCUUCAAGGAAUUGAGCUGCAGAAGUUAGUUGAGAGAAGGAGUGAUGGUUCACUUUUGAUUUGUUUGAGUAUAUACGUAAAGGCAACUACUACAAUGUAUACACAAAUUUCUAUUAUUUAGAAGCAUGAUGACGACCAACGACCAGUGGCAAAAAGGAUAAUAAAUCAAAUAUACAAGGACAAAUUAUAACUACUAUACUAAAAUUUGUUGAUAUUCGUGCACUCAUGCUCAGACCAAGGCUCUAUUUUUUUUUUAAUACUCUAGAAGUAUCUACAUCUUUCUCCACUCUUCCUAUGAAAAUAAAUAAAUAUCUCAUUUGCAUCAAUUUUCUUAGACUUUCAAGACUAAACAGUUGAGAGUGUUUCUAGGUAUGUUUUAUUCACAUUUUUGCUUAAAUCUCUUCGGUUAACUUUCCCAAUUUUCAAUUUUGAGUGAUCAUUUCUUUUUUCUUGCUCUUAAUCAGUCCUUUUCAAAUAUUCAAAGAUUCUAUUUUCUUGCUCUUAAUCAGUCCUUUUGAAAUAUAUUCAAAGAUGGCUUCUGUUCACUUUCUUAAUUGGAUAUUACAACCCUAGGUCAAAAAGGAAAGUUAUAUAGUAAUCUCAAGCAAUAGGAAUAAUUAUAACAUUGGCUAUGAAUUUAAGCCAUCAAAUUGGGAAAUCUGACGAUAACGGAGAGAAGAUAGGACAAAUAUUGAGAGAAAAGCUAACCUGAAAUAGCACCAUUUAGAUGAGAAGAUGAAGAGAACUCAAAGAACUGUCUUGAAAAGAAAAGGUUCAAGAAUUAUGACAUAUACCGAGAGUAUCACUUGUUGCUUUGUGCAAACUAUAGAAGUGUAAAAAGAAGCAGAUUUGAACAAAAAUUGAGAGAGAAUCAUUCCUUAAAUUGUAAAAAAAAAGAGCUAAAAGUUUUCUUAUGAGUUCUCUGUUUUGUUUCCCAGAAGAAGCAAAUAUUGAAAAAAAUAACUUACCCAAAUUCGGAAAUAAAAAAAUAAAAAAAAUCAGAACUGUGUGUUUUCUUCUAUCUUCUAUUUUCUUAAAAUUAUCUCUCACUUAGAUUAUGGAUAAUUGAGAUUUCUAUGUUCUGUUGUGCUCGUGUUUAAUGAUAUAACAGAGCCUUCAUCUUUAGUAUUGAGACACUCAUAUAGCUAAAGCAUCACGACAAAGGCAGAUACAAAAAGUACAUAAAGAUUCAAACUUUAUGAACAAAAACCAGUAUAUCAAAGUGAAGAACCCCACAUACAAGAAAAUUGAGAUAUGUC
rnacentral:lncRNA from 1 species